rnacentral:rRNA from 1 species
CAUAACGGAGGAAAGAAACCAACAGGGAUUGCCUCAGUAACGGCGAGUGAAGCGGCAACAGCUCAAAUUUGAAAGCUGGCGUCCUCGACGCCCGCGUUGUAUUUUGGAGAGGCAGCUUCGGUGAGGGCGCCAGCCUAUGUUCCUUGGAACAGGACGUCGCAGAGGGUGAGAAUCCCGUGCCUGGCUGGCUGUCCCUCCCCACGUGAAGCGCCUUCGACGAGUCGAGUUGUUUGGGAAUGCAGCUCAAAAUGGGUGGUAAAUUUCAUCUAAAGCUAAAUAUUGGCGGGAGACCGAUAGCGCACAAGUAGAGUGAUCGAAAGAUGAAAAGCACUUUGAAAAUAGAGUUAAAAAGUACGUGAAAUUGUUGAAAGGGAAGCGCUUGAGACCAGACUCGGCCGGAAAUGAUCAGCCGUCCUUCUGGGCGGUGCACUCGUUUCCUGUCGGGCCAGCAUCGGUUGAGACGGCGGGACAAAGGCCUCGGGAAUGUGGCUCCUCUCGGGGAGUGUUAUAGCCCGGGGCGCAAUGCCGUCAGCCUCGACCGAGGACCGCGCCAUCGUGCUAGGAUGCUGGCGUAAUGGUCUUCAGCGACCCGUCUUGAAACACGGACCAAGGAGUCUAACAUCUAUGCGAGUGUUUGGGUGUCAAACCCUUGCGCGUAAUGAAAGUGAACGGAGGUGGGAACCCCCUCGCGGGGCGCACCAUCGACCGGUCCUGAUGUCUUCGGAUGGAUCUGAGUAGGAGCAUAGCUGUUGGGACCCGAAAGAUGGUGAACUAUGCCUGAAUAGGGUGAAGCCAGAGGAAACUCUGGUGGAGGCUCGCAGCGGUUCUGACGUGCAAAUCGAUCGUCAAAUUUGGGUAUAGGGGCGAAAGACUAAUCGAACCAUCUAGAACUGGU